rnacentral:lncRNA from 1 species
CUUCCAGUUUCAGUGGGUCAGUCCAUUCUCGACGUGGCAGGAGCAUGGUGGCGCACAGACGUGCUGCUGGAGAAGGAGCGAGAGUUGGACAUCUGGAUCCCCAGGCAGCAGGAAGAGAGAGACAUGGGCCUGUCUUAGACUUUUGGAAAACCUCAAAAGCCUCCUUCAGUGAUACAACUUUCUCCACCAGUGCCUCACCUACUCCCAACAAGGCCACACCUCCUAAUCCUUCUCAGUUCCAGCAUAAUGGUUAUUUCUGGGAACUGAAGAUGCAUUGACCAGAACUUGAGGGGACCAAGGCUGGAAAGGCCAAGCCACCAAGGACUGAAGAUCUGUCCCUGUGCACAUUGAGCCUCAAAACAGAGCACAGUUGGGAUUACUUUGUUAGUAGGCAUAGAC